rnacentral:rRNA from 1 species
AUUGCCCCAGUAACGGCGAGUGAAGCGGCAACAGCUCAAAUUUGAAAUCUGGCCCCUAGGGUCCGAGUUGUAAUUUGCAGAGGAUGCUUUGGGCGAGGUGCCUUCCGAGUUCCCUGGAACGGGACGCCACAGAGGGUGAGAGCCCCGUCUGGUCGGACACCGAGCCUGUGUAAAGCUCCUUCGACGAGUCGAGUAGUUUGGGAAUGCUGCUCAAAAUGGGAGGUAUAUGUCUUCUAAAGCUAAAUAUUGGCCAGAGACCGAUAGCGCACAAGUAGAGUGAUCGAAAGAUGAAAAGCACUUUGAAAAGAGGGUUAAAAAGUACGUGAAAUUGUUGAAAGGGAAGCGCCUAUGACCAGACUUGGGCCCGGUGAAUCAUCCAGCGUUCUCGCUGGUGCACUUUGCCGGGCACAGGCCAGCAUCAGUUUGGCGCGGGGGACAAAGGCUUCGGGAAUGUGGCUCCCUCGGGAGUGUUAUAGCCCGCUGCGCAAUACCCUGCGCCGGACUGAGGUACGCGCAUCGCAAGGAUGCUGGCGUAAUGGUCAUCAGCGACCCGUCUUGAAACACGGACCAAGGAGUCGUCUUCGUAUGCGAGUGUUCGGGUGUCAAACCCCUACGCGUAAUGAAAGUGAACGCAGGUGAGAGCUUCGGCGCAUCAUCGACCGAUCCUGAUGUUCUCGGAUGGAUUUGAGUAAGAGCAUACGGGGCCGGACCCGAAAGAAGGUGAACUAUGCCUGUAUAGGGUGAAGCCAGAGGAAACUCUGGUGGAGGCUCGCAGCGGUUCUGACGUGCGAAUCGAUCGUCAUAUAUGGGCAUGGGGGCGAAAGA